UACAGAGGUCUCAAGCGUUUGUUCGGAUUCAUUGGGCGUAAAGGGUGCGUAGGUGGCGCGGUAAGUCGGGUGUGAAAUUUCGGAGCUUAACUCCGAAACUGCAUUCGAUACUGCCGUGCUUGAGGACUGGAGAGGAGACUGGAAUUUACGGUGUAGCAGUGAAAUGCGUAGAGAUCGUAAGGAAGACCAGUGGCGAAGGCGGGUCUCGUGGACAGUUCCUGACACUGAGGCACGAAGGCCAGGGGAGCAAACGGG
rnacentral:rRNA from 1 species